CCAGACUCCUACGGGAGGCAGCAGUGGGGAAUAUUGCACAAUGGGGGAAACCCUGAUGCAGCGACGCCGCGUGAGUGAAGAAGUAAUUCGUUAUGUAAAGCUCUAUCAGCAGGGAAGAAAAUGACGGUACCUGAGUAAGAAGCCCCGGCUAACUACGUGCCAGCAGCCGCGGUAAUACGUAGGGGGCAAGCGUUAUCCGGAUUUACUGGGUGUAAAGGGAGCGUAGACGGCAGCGCAAGUCUGGAGUGAAAUGCCGGGGCCCAACCCCGGAACUGCUUUGGAAACUGUGCAGCUGGAGUGCAGGAGAGGUAAGCGGAAUUCCUAGUGUAGCGGUGAAAUGCGUAGAUAUUAGGAGGAACACCAGUGGCGAAGGCGGCCUGCUGGACGACAACUGACGGUGAGGCGCGAAAGCGUGGGGAGCAAACAGGAUUAGAUACCCGUGUA
rnacentral:rRNA from 1 species